CUUGUAGGCGGUUUGUCGCGUCUGCUGUGAAAGACCGGGGCUUAACUCCGGUUCUGCAGUGGGUACGGGCAGACUAGAGUGUGGUAGGGGAGACUGGAAUUCCUGGUGUAGCGGUGAAAUGCGCAGAUAUCAGGAGGAACACCGAUGGCGAAGGCAGGUCUCUGGGCCAUUACUGACGCUGAGAAGCGAAAGCAUGGGGAGCGAACA
rnacentral:rRNA from 1 species